AAAAAAAAAAAAAAAAAUCUGAAAUACCCUAUCGUUUAUAAUUCUAGACAAACCAAGAUAAAUUGAAAGCAGAUACCAUGUAAUCAAGCUCUAAGAUAGCAUGGAAACACAAUCUCCUACUUAGCUGCUGUGCUUAGCGCAUAAGCUGUGAAAAUGACCAGAAGCCCAGAACUAUUACAUCACAUUUUCAAAACUCCAGCCAAAUGAGCACUAAUAGGAUAUCCAUCUCUCUUUAAUCAAAUAAUCAUGAAGAGAGGAUUGAAGAUGUUAGAUGAAGACACAUCACCCAAUAAAAUGAGAAGAGGUUACCGGCUAACACAAAUCCAACAUGUGAAACUGAACAAAAAAUCCCAAAUGAAGAGAAUCGUGAAAACCUUGAUAUCCAAAAUCCAAUCAAAUCAAUUCCCAGUAAAUAUUCACACCAAUUUCGUUCCCCUUAUUUUAGAACUUCAGUCAGAUGAACAAAAUACUAAAAAAAUAUCAACAGUAGCAAAUUUCUGAUAAGAAGAAUCGGAAUUCCUCAAACAAAAUGCCAUAGAAUCCAAAUCCAAGCAAAACCAGAUAAGAAAUUCAGAAAGCUCAAAAAUAAAAUCAAACCUCCUUGCUGGAGAGCUCAGA
rnacentral:misc_RNA from 1 species